CGUCAAAGCUUAAUUAUCUAGCCCAACUAAUUCCUAAAUACAAUUAAAACCCUACCUCAAUAUUGAGUAAUUUCAUACUUCUAUGAAAGCUAUAAUGUUAAAACUAGUAACAUGAAGUUAAAACCUUCUCUUAAAUGUCAGUAUAGGUCAGAAUGGAUAACACACUGACAAUUAACAGCUUAAACCAAAGUGACAACCCAACAAGAAAAUCUCACUAAUGCAUCUGUUAACCUAACACAAGAACAUUAAAAGAAAGACUAAAAGAAAAAGAAGGAACUCGGCAAAACCUGAUUCCGCCUGUUUACCAAAAACAUCGCCUCCUGAAUUAAACCAUAGGAGGUACAGCCUGCCCAGUGACUCUGUUUAACGGCCGCGGUAUCCUAACCGUGCGAAGGUAGCGUAAUCACCUGUUUUUUAAUUAAAGACCUGUAUGAAAGGCAUCACGAGAAUCAUACUGUCUCCUUUCUCACGUCAGUAAAACUAAUCUCCUCGUGAAAAAGCGAGGAUUUCACUACAAGACGAGAAGACCCUUUGGAGCUUAAGACAAAACAAAUAUUUGUCCCCAUCACCCCCCCCCCCCCCACCACAUCACAUUUUAUUUGUAAGUCUUAGGUUGGGGCAACCGCGGAGAAUAAAUUAACCUCCAAGCUGAACGGAACUUUCCUAAACAAAAAGCAACAACUUUAUGUAUCAAUAAACUGACACAAUUUGACCCAAUAUAUUUUGACUAACGAACCAAGUUACCCUAGGGAUAACAGCGCAAUCCACUUCAAGAGUCCAUAUCGAAAAGUGGGCUUACGACCUCG
rnacentral:rRNA from 1 species